rnacentral:rRNA from 1 species
UAACUGGAGAGUUUGAUCCUGGCUCAGAACGAACGUUAGCGGCGCGCCUAACACAUGCAAGUCGUGCGAGAAAGGGCUUCGGCCCCAGUACAGCGGCGCACGGGUGAGUAACACGUAGGUAAUCUUCCCUUCAGUGGUGGAUAACCCUCCGAAAGGAGGGCUAAUACAGCAUAAGACCACGGUCCUCUCGGGGGCUGUGGCCAAAGUGGGCCUCUUCAUGAAAGCUCACGCUGGAGGACGAGCCUGCGGCCCAUCAGCUAGUUGGUAGGGUAACGGCCUACCAAGGCUAAGACGGGUAGCUGGUCUGAGAGGAUGAACAGCCACACUGGAACUGAGACACGGUCCAGACUCCUACGGGAGGCAGCAGUGGGGAAUCUUGCGCAAUGGGCGAAAGCCUGACGCAGCGACGCCGCGU